GCGAACAUUUCAUGGGUGAAAGUGGAGAGCUGGGGCCACCACUGAUGUUUCCAGACCUCCAGGAAGCUGGAGGAUAAACUGCAGAAACUGCAAUGGAAAACAGCAGCCUGGCUCAACAGUCCAACAACUGCUAGCUGCAGUAUCUGUCAUGUCACCAAAAGUGAGGAAUUCUGUGAAUCAUGUCAUCCAGUGACAAAGUCCUCUGAACCCUCACAUCUGUCACAAAGGAAAGGCAAAGCCAAUAUGAUAAACAGGAAAUGCAGCCCAUGGGAGGAAAAAAGUAAUGUGAACACAAAUUUGACGGUGAAAAACUUUUGUUUUUUGAUACGUGCUGUCAAAACACUGUCUGGGAAGGUUAUGCAUUUGGCAAGAGGUGAGGGUCUGAAGACACAGAGAGAACAUGCAGAAUCUGAAGUCCUGGGCUCCACGUGAGGCAUGGUGACAGGGAGAACCUCAGAGGAGAACCCCUGGGAGAACGAGCCCAGGUAAGGAAGAUCCCACCUGUCACCUGCUCAUUUGUUCCUUCCACAAAUAUAGGAUGGCUUACCAUGUGCUACACGCUAUGUUUUGUUUUGUUUUUUUUUUAGGUUGGGAGAGCGUAUUAGGCAUUGAACCCAAAGCCUCAUGAAUGCUGGGAAAGUAUUCUAAUACUGAACUACACCUCUAGCCCCUCUAUUUUAUUUUAUUUUACUUUAUUUUAUUCUAUUUUUUAUUUUAAAGAAAAUAAUAAAAAAGAAC
rnacentral:lncRNA from 1 species